UGAUUAUUUUGUGUCUUGUUGUGUGUGUUUUUUCAUGACGUUCCCAGAUAUUGGAGGUCCGGGUGCACCGUGGUGGUAUUGAUAUCGGUAGUAUCCAGAGUGGGCCCCAAUGGCACGAACAGGCAGCCCCCACUUGGCACGGAUCGUAGUUAUGCUCACGGCCUACGUUAUGGCCAUGUGGUUCCUGGCCACCUUCACUGAGAAGCGGCUCGAGAUGAGGAGAAACUUGGGAUCUGAGACCUUAACUGCGAUAUGUCGUCACUCCUAAAUGAGAGUUUACACGAGAGAUCUUCCUUGUCAGACCCACCAAUGCGUCUUUCUUUCUCAUGAUAAAACCCCAAAACUUUCUUGCAAGCCUCUGAAAAUAGAGCCAUCCACAGCCACUCAGCAUCCUCACCCAAGAGCCUCUGAAGAUGCGAGGGAUCUCUACCAGAAGAUUGACCAAUUGUCACCUGCACUGUCGGUCCUUGAGGGUCCAUAGGGGGCAAUCCUGUUCGUUCGCGUGCAAUUUGAUAAGGAUCGACUGCGGUGAAUUGGAUGAGUAACAUGGGAUCGGCGGAUAGAACCCUGACGUUUGGAUUCGACGGCAGACUAGAUCCAAGGUUCACUGUAAAUGCUCCGAGCCACAUAGCCACAGUGCCUAUAGGGAAGAUCCGAGCCAAAUGGAAACUGCUCGUUCAUGCCAUUGAGGAUCGUUCCUAGGUGGUUCCUUCGCUGGAUAUAAUAUCAUUAUUGUUGUCGAGCACUGCUGGCUGGAUACUGAGCCAGCUGACGAUUGUCUUGAUCAGCUCGUGAGACAGCUUCCCAAAAGGACAGGAAACGGAAGGGAUCGCCCUUGGAUGGUCCUCUGGUACUCAGGCAAUCAAUUGGCGAACCAUUCGGAAAUUUGAGAUUUUGCGCAGACAAACAAACCGUCAAAAUCGAAAAUAUAAAUCCCACAGAUGUGAGACAAACGGAUUAACAAGAAAACACACGGAAACAGAGCUGUACAGUGAGAACUUCGUUCCUAAUCAUCAGCUUCCUGCGAGUCCUUUUCGGACUGACAGCGAUAUGCCAAAGGAUGGAUCUUGAAGCCAUAGAGUCUGUGGAUCGAAAGGGGCCCAAACUGGACACAAUACGCAUCCGUUAUGUACUAUAUAUUUUUUAUAAAAGGAAACGGAAACAGAAACA